rnacentral:ncRNA from 1 species
UCCAGUUAAAAGCAAUCCUAUGAUAAUACGGGGACGCAAAGCUAAGGAUCUAGAGAAAUCUAAAGUAGUCUAGAUAGCCAAUCUGCCUGG